AGUGAACGCUGGCGGUAGGCCUAACACAUGCAAGUCGAACGGCAGCACAGAGGAGCUUGCUCCUUGGGUGGCGAGUGGCGGACGGGUGAGGAAUACAUCGGAAUCUACUCUGUCGUGGGGGAUAACGUAGGGAAACUUACGCUAAUACCGCAUACGACCUACGGGUGAAAGCAGGGGAUCCUCGGACCUUGCGCGAUUGAAUGAGCCGAUGUCGGAUUAGCUAGUUGGCGGGGUAAAGGCCCACCAAGGCGACGGUCCGUAGCUGGUCUGAGAGGAUGAUCAGCCACACUGGAACUGAGACACGGUCCAGACUCCUACGGGAGGCAGCAGUGGGGAAUAUUGGACAAUGGGCGCAAGCCUGAUCCAGCCAUACCGCGUGGGUGAAGAAGGCCUUCGGGUUGUAAAGCCCUUUUGUUGGGAAAGAAAUCCAUCUGGUUAAUACCCGGGUGGGAUGACGGUACCCAAAGAAUAAGCACCGGCUAACUUCGUGCCAGCCGCCGCGGUAA
rnacentral:rRNA from 1 species